GACGAACGCUGGCGGCGUGCCUAAUACAUGCAAGUAGAACGCUGAAGGAGGAGCUUGCUCUUCUGGAUGAGUUGCGAACGGGUGAGUAACGCGUAGGUAACCUGCCUGGUAGCGGGGGAUAACUAUUGGAAACGAUAGCUAAUACCGCAUAAUAGUAGAUGUUGCAUGAUAUUUACUUAAAAGGUGCAAUUGCACCACUACCAGAUGGACCUGCGUUGUAUUAGCUAGUUGGUGGGGUAACGGCUCACCAAGGCGACGAUACAUAGCCGACCUGAGAGGGUGAUCGGCCACAAUGGGACUGAGACACGGCCCAGACUCCUACGGGAGGCAGCAGUAGGGAAUCUUCGGCAAUGGACGAAAGUCUGACCGAGCAACGCCGCGUGAGUGAAGAAGGUUUUCGGAUCGUAAAGCUCUGUUGUAAGAGAAGAACGAGUGUGAGAGUGGAAAGUUCACACUGUGACGGUAUCUUACCAGAAAGGGACGGCUAACUACGUG
rnacentral:rRNA from 1 species